UUCUUAAAAAUUUUUUAUAAAAUGUUUGUAGUAUAUACUAUUAGAUAUUAGUAAC
rnacentral:tRNA from 1 species